rnacentral:rRNA from 1 species
GAUGAACGCUGGCGGCGUGCCUAAUACAUGCAAGUCGAGCGAACAGACGAGGAGCUUGCUCCUUCGACGUUAGCGGCGGACGGGUGAGUAACACGUAGGUAACCUACCUAUAAGACUGGGAUAACUUCGGGAAACCGGAGCUAAUACCGGAUAAUAUUUCGAACCGCAUGGUUCGAUAGUGAAAGAUGGCUUUGCUAUCACUUAUAGAUGGACCUGCGCCGAAUUAGCUAGUUGGUAAGGUAACGGCUUACCAAGGCAACGAUACGUAGCCGACCUGAGAGGGUGAUCGGCCACACUGGAACUGAGACACGGUCCAGACUCCUACGGGAGGCAGCAGUAGGGAAUCUUCCGCAAUGGGCGAAAGCCUGACGGAGCAACGCCGCGUGAGUGAUGAAGGUCUUCGGAUCGUAAAACUCUGUUAUUAGGGAAGAACAAACGUGUAAGUAACUGUGCACGUCUUGACGGUACCUAAUCAGAAAGCCACGGCUAACUACGUG